rnacentral:rRNA from 1 species
AUACGUAGGGGGCGAGCGUUGUCCGGAAUGACUGGGCGUAAAGGGCGUGUAGGCGGUUGUCUAAGUCUGGAGGGAAAGUCCUGCUUUCAAGGUGGGAAUAGCUUUGGAUACUGGCUGACUUGAGUGCGGAAGAGGGAAGGGGAAUUCCCAGUGUAGCGGUGAAAUGCGUAGAGAUUGGGAGGAACACCAGUGGCGAAGGCGACUUACUGGGCCGUAACUGACGCUGAGGCGCGAAAGCGUGGGGAGCGAACAGGAUUAGAUACCCUGGUAGUCCACGCGGUAAACGAUGAAUGCUAGGUGUUGCGGGUAUCGACCCCUGCAGUGCCGGAGUAAACACAAUAAGCAUUCCGCCUGGGGAGUACGGCCGCAAGGUUGAAACUCAAAUGAAUUGGCGGGG